AGGAAAUAGAUACCCGGGUAGUCCACGCCCUAAACGAUGUCAACUAGUUGUUGGGGGAGUAAAAUCCCUUAGUAACGCAGCUAAACGCGUGAAAGUUGACCGCCUGGGGAGUACGGUCGCAAGAUUAAAACUCAAAGGAAUUGACGGGGCCCGCACAAGCGGUGGAUUAUGUGGAUUAAUUCGAUGCAACGCGAAAAACCUUACCUGGCCUUGACAUGCCACUAACGAAGCAGAGAUGCAUUAGGUGCCCGAAAGGGAAAGUGGACACAGGUGCUGCAUGGCUGUCGUCAGCUCGUGUCGUGAGAUGUUGGGUUAAGUCCCGCAACGAGCGCAACCCUUGCCAAUAAUUGCCAUCAUUCAGUUGGGCACUUUAUUGGGACUGCCGGUGACAAACCGGA
rnacentral:rRNA from 1 species